GUGAGAGGGAACAGUAGGUGAGGGGUACAGUAGGUGAGAGGUGAGGGGUUACAGUAGGUGAGAGGUGAGGGGUUACAGUAGGUGAGAGGUGAGAGGGAACAGUAGGUGAGAGGUGAGAGGGAACAGUAGGUGAGAGGUGAGAGGGUACAGUAGGUGAGAGGUGAGGGGUUACAGUAGGUGAGAGGUGAGAGGUAACAGUAGGUGAGAGGUGAGGGGUUACAGUAGGUGAGAGGUGAGAGGCAACAGUAGGUGAGAGGUGAGAGGUUACAGUAGGUGAGAGGUGAGGGGCAACAGUAGGUGAGAGGUGAGAGGCAACAGUAGGUGAGAGGUGAGGGGCAACAGUAGGUGAGAGGUUACAGUAGGUGAGAGGUGAGGGGCAACAGUAGGUGAGAGGUGAGAGGCAACAGUAGGUGAGAGGUGAGGGGCAACAGUAGGUGAGAGGUGAG
ensembl:lncRNA